rnacentral:lncRNA from 1 species
GUGGGGGCUCUUUCCACCUACAUAACACGCAACCAAGGAUCCCAGGAAGGUAACCUUGUUAACCCUAUUCUUUACAAUGUGUCAUGCUAGAGUGAAAAAUCUUCUUUUCUUGCACCUAAUCUUUUUUUCUUUCAUUUCCUUUUCUUUUUUUAUUCCUAAUUUUAGUUAAUUUUAGUUACUAGUUUAUACUAGAUUUACAUUGUACUUGUACUAAAGUUACUGUUAUUAUUUUAAGUAAUUCAUAAGUGGAAUUGGUGUAACUAAAGAUUUGUAUUAGAAUUAGUGUAAUUUUUAGAUAGUUACUAUCAAUUUUAGAAUUGGUUGACAAUGUGGUUUGGCUGAACCAGUGGAAUGGGUGUAACUAAAGAGUUGUAGUAGUAUUCGAGUGAUCAAAAGGUUCAAAUCAUACCUAUUCAUUAUUCAGGUAACCUUUGACUGCAAAUCACUUAAUUUACUACCAACUACAUAUAUGUGUG